rnacentral:rRNA from 1 species
GAAACCAAACUCUUGAUAUUUUAUGUCUCUCUGAGUAAACUUUUAAAUAAGUCAAAACUUUCAACAACGGAUCUCUUGGUUCUGGCAUCGAUGAAGAACGCAGCGAAAUGCGAUAAGUAAUGUGAAUUGCAGAAUUCAGUGAAUCAUCGAAUCUUUGAACGCACAUUGCGCUCGCCAGUAUUCUGGCGAGCAUGCCUGUUCGAGCGUCAUUUCAACCAUCAAGCUCUGCUUGCGUUGGGGAUCCGCGGCUGCCCGCGGUCCCUCAAAAACAGUGGCGGGCUCGCUAGUCACACCGAGCGUAGUAACUCUACAUCGCUAUGGUCGUGCGGCGGGUUCUUGCCGUUAAAACCCCCCAAUUUCUAAGGUUGACCUCGGAUCAGGUAGGAAUACCCGCUGAACUUAAGCAU